rnacentral:rRNA from 1 species
GACGAACGCUGGCGGCGUGCUUAACACAUGCAAGUCGAACGGAAAGGCGCUGCGCUUGCUGGGUGCUCGUGUGGCGAACGGGUGUGUAACACGCGUGUAUCCCGCCCCUGUCUGUGGGAUAAAUUUAGGAAACUGGGGCGAUUACCGGAUAGGAGCUCUUGCUCCAUGGUGGGGGUUGGAAAGUUACGGCGUUUGUGGCUGGACUCGCGGCUUAUCAGCUUGAUGGUGGGGUAGUGGCUUACCAAGGCUUUGACGGGUAGCCGGCCUGAGAGGGUGACCGGCCACAAUGGGACUGAGAUACGGAGCAGAAUCCUACGGGAGGCAGUAGUGGGGAACAUUGCACAGUGGGGGGAAGCCUGAGACAACAACGUCGCGUGCGGGAUAAUGUGCUUCGGGUUGUGAACCGAUUUGGCCUGUGAUGAAGAGUGAGUGACGGUAAUGGGUAAAGAAGCACCGGCUAACUACGUG